ensembl:misc_RNA Metazoa_SRP Metazoan signal recognition particle RNA
GCCGGGUGCGGUGGCUCACGCCUGUAAUCCCAGCACUUUGGGAGGCUGAGGCAGGUGGAUCACCUGAGGUCAGGAGUUCAAGACCAACCUGGCCAACAUGGUGAAACCCUGUCUCUA